rnacentral:rRNA from 1 species
CAACAUGGCCAUACUACCCUGAGAAAACCCGAUCUCAUUUUAUUUAAAAACCUAAGCAGGGUUGGGCCUGGUCAGUACUUGGAUAGGAUAGACUAUCAGUAAAUACUGUUGUUGUGUCCC